GACAAAGGCCCCAAGAACCGCUACACCGUUUGAUCCCGUGACUCGUCGAUCCUGAGAGCUUCCACAGCAGGCCUGCCUACUCUUGGAUGCAAGAAGGUUUCUCCUGGAAUAGCUUAGCUUGUAGCGGGCUGAUGCUGUUUUCUGAAGGAUAUAUUAUGUGUGUUUGCUGUGAAUUGCUUGGAAGACAUAAUCUAACAUCGUUGCGUUUGUCGUCGUUG
rnacentral:snRNA from 1 species